rnacentral:rRNA from 1 species
AGAGUUUGAUCCUGGCUCAGGACGAACGCUGGCGGCAUGCCUAACACAUGCAAGUCGAACGGAGAUUACUUCGGUAAUCUUAGUGGCGAACGGGUGAGUAACGCGUGGGCAACCUGCCCUCUAGAUGGGGACAACAUCCCGAAAGGGGUGCUAAUACCGAAUGUGACAGCAAUCUCGCAUGAGGAUGCUGUGAAAGAUGGCCUCUAUUUAUAAGCUAUCGCUAGAGGAUGGGCCUGCGUCUGAUUAGCUAGUUGGUGGGGUAACGGCCUACCAAGGCGAUGAUCAGUAGCCGGUCUGAGAGGAUGAACGGCCACAUUGGGACUGAGACACGGCCCAGACUCCUACGGGAGGCAGCAGUGGGGAAUCUUCCGCAAUGGGCGAAAGCCUGACGGAGCAAUGCCGCGUGAGUGAUGAAGGAAUUCGUUCCGUAAAGCUCUUUUGUUUAUGACGAAUGUGCAGAUUGUGAACAAUGAUUUGUAAUGACGGUAGUAAACGAAUAAGCCACGGCUAACUACGUGCCAGCAGCCGCGGUAAUACGUAGGUGGCGAGCGUUGUCCGGAAUUAUUGGGCGUAAAGAGCAUGUAGGCGGUUUUUUAAGUCUGGAGUGAAAAUGCGGGGCUCAACCCCGUAUGGCUCUGGAUACUGGAAGACUUGAGUGCAGGAGAGGAAAGGGGAAUUCCCAGUGUAGCGGUGAAAUGCGUAGAUAUUGGGAGGAACACCAGUGGCGAAGGCGCCUUUCUGGACUGUGUCUGACGCUGAGAUGCGAAAGCCAGGGUAGCGAACGGGAUUAGAUACCCCGGUAGUCCUGGCCGUAAACGAUGGGUACUAGGUGUAGGAGGUAUCGACCCCUUCUGUGCCGGAGUUAACGCAAUAAGUACCCCGCCUGGGGAGUACGUCCGCAAGGAUGAAACUCAAAGGAAUUGACGGGGGCCCGCACAAGCGGUGGAGUAUGUGGUUUAAUUCGACGCAACGCGAAGAACCUUACCAAGGCUUGACAUUGAUUGACCGCUCCAGAGAUGGAGUUUUCCCUUCGGGGACAUGAAAACAGGUGGUGCAUGGCUGUCGU